UAAACUGAGGGGGUUAUUUACUGGGAUGCCAUUGGAUAUUAGACAAAGAAGUGUAAUGGGUUCGCACAGAAAUAUGUUGCAUAAAGCCUACUUCAUUAUUCAAUGUUUGUUAUUUUUUACUGCAUCAGGAAUAGGGUACACAGACUUUUCGGCUUUACAGUCUUCUUUAGUGUGUAGGUACAAUUUCCUUUAAUUCAAAGCAGCAUGUGUAAAGAACAACAAAUGAGCAGCAGGUGCUUCUAAUCAGGGUUGCCACUCAUCAGCCAAUCAGGACUGUGGCCCCUCUGGUCUACCUGCAUACAAAUUAGUCCCAAAAAUAUAUAGAAUGAUAGGGUAUGGGAGGACGAAGGGCAACUUACAAAUCAAUCGCCCAAGCUGUCCGCUCACCUAAACACGUCACAUCAAUUCACCACAAAGGACAUCGGGCAAAGCCGCUGGGGCGACUCAUAAACAAUAUGGAAAAUCUGAUAUGGACAGUGUUCUAGUUUAACAGUCUAAAGGUGGCGCCUCUUCAAUCUCAGGAGGCUGAAGAAAUUCGGCUUGUCACCAAAAGCACUCACAAACUUCUACAGAUGCACAAUCGAGAGCAUCCUGUCGGGCUGUUUCACCGCCUGGUACGGCAACUGCUCCGCCCACAACCGUAAGGCUCUCCAGAGGGUAGUGAGGUGUGCACAACGCAUCACCGGGGGCAAACUACCUGCCCUCCAGGACACCUACACCACCCGAUGUCACAGGAACGCAAAAAAGAUCAUCAAGGACAACAACCACCCGAGUCACUGCCUGUUCACCCCGCUACCAUCCAGAAGGCGAGGACAACAUUCAACCCGAUCAGCUUCUAGCUAACUCCAGCAUCACUGGUCAGCAACUCCAUACAUCUGACUCCGGUGAAGGGCAAAGGGGCAUUAACUAACAUGGAGCUGUCUCAGUGAAACAAGUAAGUUACUUUUGUGAUAAAUGCCAGAGCCAAGCAUCGUCUCUCACAGGUAAGAUGCUUUUUCUGAACAGAGCACAGCAUUUGGUUUGUUACAUUAUGCAGACCAUUUUGUAGUGGUUCAGUGAUGGUUGAGUUCAUUCUCAGUGCUAGGUUGUCCACCUUUACUACUGUAGAUCCCUUAUGUCCUUAUGUUAAUGAAUAUGUCAUUAGCAAAUCUGGAUAUCAUAGGUAUACAUGAUGUGUGUUCCAACCUCCAUGAUUGAUGCCUUUCCUUCCUCUCGCUCUGUCUUUUGCUGGUGUUGCAACAACAUUUAGUCAGGACAGUGUUAUUAAGAAGCAGUUUAGCUGUUUGGAUGCAGAGGAAAUUCCAAUUGCUCGAACACUAUGCAGGAUGAACUGUGGAGGACCAAAAGUCAUUUUCAUCAAAGACAAAUUAUUUUAUUAUGUACCAUUAGUCAAACACGGGCACCCUCAUAGAUAUCAUCCUAACCAACUUGCCCUCUAAAUACACCUCUGCUGUCUUCAACCAAGAUCUCAGCGAUCACUGCCUCAUUGCCUGCAUCUGUAAUGAGUCAGCGGUCAAACGACCUCCACUCAUCAUUGUAAAACGCUUCCUGAAACACUUCAGCGAGCAGGCCUUUCUAAUCGACCUGACCGGGGUAUCCUGGAAGGAUAUUGAUCUCAUCCCGUCAGUAGAGGAUGCCUGGAUAUUUUUUUUAAAUGCCUUCCUAACCAUCUUAAAUAAACAUGCCCCAUUCAAGAAAUGUAGAACCAGGAACAGAUAUAGCCCUUGGUUCUCCCUAGACCUGACUGCCCUUAACCAACACAAAAACAUCCUAUGGCGUUCUGCAUUACCAUCGAACAGCCCCCGUGAUAUGCAGCUGUUCAGGGAAGCUAGAAACCAUUAUACACAGGCAGUUAGAAAAGCCAAGGCUAGCUUUUUCAAGCAGAAAUUUGCUUCCUGCAACACUAACUCAAAAAAGUUCUGGGACACUGUAAAGUCCAUGGAGAAUAAGAACACCUCCUCCCAGCUGCCCACUGCACUGAAGAUAGGAAACACUGUCAUCACUGAUAAAUCCACCAUAGUUGAGAAUUUCAAUAAGCAUUUUUCUACGGCUGGCCAUGCUUUCCACCUGGCUACUCCUACCCCGGUCAACAGCACUGCACCCCCCACAGCAACUCGCCCAAGCCUUCUCCAUUUCUCCUUCUCCCAAAUCCGUUCAGCUGAUGUUCUGAAAGCGCUGCAAAAUUUGGACCCCCACAAAUCAGCCGGGCUAGACAAUCUGGACCCUUUCUUUCUAAAAUAAUCUGCCGAAAUUGUUGCCACCCCUAUUACUAGCCUGUUCAACCUCUCUUUCGUGGCGUCUGAGAUUCCCAAAGAUUUGAAAGCAGCUGCGGUCAUCCCCCUCUUCAAAGGGGGGGACACUCUUGACUCAAACUGCUACAGACCUAUAUCUAUCCUACCAUGCCUUUCUAAGGUCUUGGAAGUCAACAAACAGAUUACCGACCAUUUCGAAUCUCACCAUACCUUCUCUGCUAUGCAAUCUGGUUUCAGAGCUGGUCAUGGGUACACCUCAGCCACGCUCAAGGUCCUAAACGAUAUCUUAACCGCCAUCGAUAAGAAACAUUACUGUGCAGCCGUAUUCAUUGAUCUGGCCAAGGCUUUCAACUCUGUCAAUCACCACAUCCUCAUCGGCAGACUCGACAGCCUUGGUUUCUCAAAUGAUUGCCUCGCCUGGUUCACCAACUACUUCUCUGAUAGAGUUCAGUGUGUCAAAUCGGAGGGUCUGCUGUCCAGACCUCUGUGAUGUCAUCUAUAAAAUAGCCUACAACACUCUACUCAACAAAUUGGAUGCAGUCUAUCACAGCGCAAUCCGUUUUGUCACCAAAGCCCCAUAUACUACCCACCAUUGCAACCUGUAUGCUCUCGUUGGCUGGCCCUCGCUUCAUACUCGUCGCCAAACCCACUGGCCUCAUGUCAUCUACAAGACCCUGCUAGGUAAAGUCCCCCCUUAUCUCAGCUCACUAUAGCAUCUCCCACCUGUAGCACACGCUCCAGCAGGUAUAUCUCUCUAGUCACCCCCAAAUCCAAUUCUUUCUUUUGCCGCCUCUCCUUCCAGUUCUCUGCUGCCAAUGACUGGAACGAACUACAAAAAUCUCUGAAACUGGAAACACUUAUCUCCCUCACUAGCUUUAAGCACCAACUGUCAGAGCAGCUCACAGAUUACUGCACCUGUACAUAGCCCACCUAUAAUUUAGCCCAAACAACUACCUCUUUCCCUACUGUAUUUAAUGUAUUUAUAUUGCUCCUUUGCACCCCAUUAUUUUUAUUUCUACUUUGCACAUUCUUCCAUUGCAAAUCUACCAUUCCAGUGUUUUACUUGCUAUAUUGUAUUUACUUUGCCACCAUGGCCUUUUUUUGCCUUUACCUCCCUUAUCUCACCUCAUUUGCUCACAUCGUAUAUAGACUUGUUUAUACUGUAUUAUUGACUGUAUGUUUGUUUUUACUCCAUGUGUAACUCUGUGUCGAACUGCUUUGCUUUAUCUUGGCCAGGUCGCAAUUGUAAAUGAGAACUUGUUCUCAACUUGCCUACCUGGUUAAAUAAAGGUGAAAUAAAAAUAAAUAAAUAAAAAGUCUAGAACAGUUCUUAUCACACCCAAGGACUAUGUCCAUGGUUUAAAAGGGACAUCAGGUGUGCAGGGAGUUUUUUUCUUGACAUUGUUGACGGUGCUCUUCUGAAAUCACAUCCCUUAAUUUCAGAGAAGCCAAAUGCAUUGCAGAUUGUUCUGUACACGGAUGAAAUAGAAAUCUGUAAUCCACUAGGCUCCUUUGCAUCAAAAAAACAAGUUGUUAAUGGUGUACUACACCCUAGGAAAUAUAAAUCCAAAAUACCGGUCUAAACUGGCUGCUAUCAGGCUACCUGCCAUGGCUCGAUCAGCAGACCAUCAAUCUGGUGGAGAUGUAAUAUUGAAUAGAAUCAAGGAAGACAUGGAUGCAUUGUACAGUGGGGUUAAAAUGCUAACUAUUAACGGAGAGAAAACGAUAUAUGCCAGGGUGUCUCUGUGGAGACACCCUGGCACAACAUAAACUAGCAGGGAUCAAAGAGGGUGUGGGCCUUGCCUACAGUAAGUGCAGACACAGUGUUCUUUUGAGGACAUGCAGUCAGACUUCAAUGAGGAUGCAUAUACUAAAAGUACAUUGGAGAAGCAUGUCAGACAGUGUGGUGAAAUAGAAAAGGCAAAGACUGACUUGCUUCGCAACAGCCUGGGAACAACAUAUGGGAUCAAUAGAAGGAGCAAGUUAGUUGAAUUCCCAGCCUUUAUCAUACAAAAAACUCCCAAGACAUUAUGCAUGUAAUUCUGGAGGGCGUAGCCCCAGAGGAAAUCAAAUGUGUUUUGAAUCAUCUUGUGUCAGGACAGAUUGAUCUGGACUCAGUGAAUUGCUAUUCUUGGUUUCCCUUAUUCCCCUCUAGAUGUUAGAGAUCGGCCAUCCCCAAUUUCUGUUAGUACAUUAACGUCAAGUGAUGGUAAACUAAAACAGACAUCUGGGCAAAUGCUUGUCCUACUAAAGAUAUUGCCAUUUGUUUUGGAGAGUUUGGAAGUCAAAGCCUAUAUACAACUGAUAAUUGAGCUAAUAGAGAUUGUACAGGUAGUAUUUGCACCUGUUCUUUCCAUUGUGGCUGUGUCUAGGUUGAAGAUACUAAUUGAAAAUCAUUUGAAGGAGCUUUUUCCAGACUGCAAUGUUACACCUAAACAGCAUUAUAUGAUACAUUUGCCAUCACAGAUAGUCAUUGGGUCCAAUGAUUAGACAUAUUUUUAUUCAUUUUAUUUUUAUUUAACUAGGCAAGUCAGUUAAGAACAAAUUCUUAUUUUCAAUGACUGCCUAGGAACAGUGGUUUAACUGCCUGUUCAGGGGCAGAACGACAGAUUUGUACCUUGUCAGCUCGGGGGUUUGAACUUGCAACCUUCCGGUUACUAGUCCAACGCUCUAACCACUAGGCUAUCCUGAGUCUAAACAUUGUUUCUUUAAACAAUGGGCUUCCAAGCUCAAUUUUAAAACAUAUUUGGAAGUCUGAUCAAUCAGAACCAAAUAUAUGAAAGCUGCCAAAAUGUUGACAGUUCAAUGCACUCAAUUUUUUCAAAUGAAAGAGCGAUGGGACCUGUAUCCGAGGUUAAAGAUCUACAAUAUUUAUGUGGAAAAUUGAGGGACUUCCUAGGUUUCAAUGAAGUAAACCAUGCUGUAUCAGUCAAAUGGCUUGUAAUAAAUUGUCACGACUUCCGCCGAAGUUGGUGCCUCACCUUGUUCGGGCGGCGUUCGGCAUCACCGGCUUUCGAGCUGCCACCGAUCCAUGUUCCUGUUUUCCAUUUGUUAUGUCUUGAGUGUACACACCUGGUUCCCAUAAAGUUAUUAUUUCUUUAUUUAACCCUCUGGUUCCCAUUAUGUUUUGUGUGUGAUUUAUUCCUGGUUUGUUAGUCGUGUGUGUUAGGGUUGUUAUCCCUGCGUGGAUUAUUUUGGCUAAUUCAUUUGUUCAGAGUAAAGUACGUUAUUUUUAC
ensembl:lncRNA